AGUAAAUAGAUACCCCGGUAGUCCACGCCGUAAACGAUGAAUACUAGGUGUAGGAGGUAUCGACUCCUUCUGUGCCGCAGUUAAACACAAUAAGUAUUCCGCCUGGGGAGUACGGUCGCAAGAUUAAAACUCAAAGGAAUUGACGGGGGCCCGCACAAGCAGCGGAGCAUGUGGUUUAAAUUCGAAGCAACGCGAAGAACCUUACCUAGACUUGACAUCUUCUGCAUUAAUCGUAAUGGAUGAAAUCCCUUCGGGGACAGAAUGACAGGUGGUGCAUGGUUGUCGUCAGCUCGUGUCGUGAGAUGUUGGGUUAAGUCCCGCAACGAGCGCGACCCCUAUUAUUAGUUGCUAACAUUAAGUUGAGCACUCUAGUGAGACUGCCCGGGUUAACCGGGAGGAAGGUGGGGAUGACGUCAAAUCAUCAUGCCCCUUAUGUCUAGGGCUACACACGUGCUACAAUGGUGGGAACAAAGAGAUGCAAUACCGCAAGGUGGAGCUAAACUCAAAACCCCAUCCCAGUUCGGAUUGUAGGCUGAAACUCGCCUAC
rnacentral:rRNA from 1 species